AAAGCUUACCAAGCCGACGAUCUGUAGCUGGUCUGAGAGGACGACCCGCCACACUGGGACUGAGACACGGCCCAGACUCCUACGGGAGGCACCACUGGGGAAUUUUGGACAAUGGGCGAAAGCCUGAUCCAGCAAUGCCGCGUGCAGGAUGAAGGCCUUCGGGGUGUAAACUGCUUUUGUAUGGAACGAAAAAGCUUCUCCUAAUACGAGAGGCCCAUGACGGUACCGUAAGAAUAAGCACCGGCUAACUACGUGCCAGCAGCCGCGGUAAUACGUAGGGUGCGAGCGUUAAUCGGAAUUACUGGGCGUAAAGCGAGCGCUGGCGGUUAUGUAAGACAGAUGUGAAAUCCCCGGGCUCAACCUGGGAACUGCAUUUGUGACUGCAUGGCUAUAGUACGGGAGAGGGUUAUGGAAUUCCGAGUGUAGCAGUGAAAUGCGUAUAUAUGCGGAGGAACACCGAUGGUGAAGGCAAUCCCCUGGACCUGUACUGACGCUCAUGCACGACAGCGUGGGGAGCACACAGGAUUAGAUACGCUGGUAGUCCACGCGCUCAUCGAUGUCAACUGGUUGUUGAGAAUUACUUGUCUCAGUAACGAAGCUAACGCGUGAAGCU
rnacentral:rRNA from 1 species